GGGAUAGAACUAGGGAUAGAACUCUCGGUGGAAUUCAAACUCGCCUCAUCAAACUGAAAGAUACGGCGCUCCCUUGGGAGAUCCCACGCGGCACUUUCAGCUGAUCUAGAGCUUGUUGCUGCUUGCUCAAAAUCCAAUACACGGCGGGGGCUCUCCCUAUUAAAAUUAUUGAACAUCGCGGAAUUUACCAUCUUUGGAAGAUCUGCUCCCAAUCCCGA
rnacentral:lncRNA from 1 species